ensembl:lncRNA
CUUUGCUUGUGCCAAGUUGCUUUGAUAAAAUCUCUCACAAUUAGAGUAAAUUUAAUUGUAGAUUUUCUCUUAACCCUUUGUAAAAGAAAAUAAAGGUAUAAAUCUGAGUAUUAAUCCUUAUUACUCCAGUUAGCUUGUGUAGGUUGUUCUAGCCUUUCCAGGUAACAAACCCACGAAGCCUGCAGUCUUGGCUUCUAAAAGCAUCCCAGGUUAACAAGUACCACAAUCAAGAGGGGAGAUGAUACAGUUUGACCUGCAAGCGUACUCAGGUUUCUUCAUAUCAGGGCAAUCAGGGAAGACACCUGGUCAUCAAUGCAGUCAGGCUGGGCGAGUCCCCUCACCCACACUGGCUCCAGCUAAACCCUGCAUCAUCUACUGGGUGUGGAAAGUUACUGUGACGGCAGACCAGAUGGAGCUCAUUGUUAUGGAACUUUGGGAGGAACUUUGGACAUCAAACUGAUGGACAGCACCUCAGAGUUAGGCAGAUUCCAACUGUUAAAGAAUACAUCACUAAUACGAUAUUCGAGAAACAACAGUUCUAAACAUAAUACAACAGAUGAAAGAUUUCUCUUUUAUCUCAGUAAUGGAACGCUUAGGAUACAUAACCUGAGCAGUACAGACAGCGGUAAAUAUAACUUUUCGACCUUUAAGUUUGAUGGACAACAAUCAGCUGAGCGGACUUUCCAGAUUUUUAUUCAAGGUACUUCCUGGUUCAUACAUGGUUUGAAAGCAGUGGUGGUAAUUAUAUCAUUAAGUGGGAUUUGGAUCUAUUUCACUUGGAAGAAAAAAGCAAUAUUGGAAGGCUCUGCUGUCCCACAAAGGAUGGAAUCUCCAGAUAACUCUGUUUUAAUGACUGAAAUGAGUCCUUACUCCAACACUUAGUGUCACCUUUCACCUGCUGUAAAUUCACUGUGUGUCCUUACAGGUGUGCAGAUGAGGACUAGGGUGAUUUUUCUUCUUUUUCUUCCUUCUUUUGUCAUAUGUAGUGCACAAGGACACAUUUGUUUUCACCUUUUGGUGUGUUUGUGUUAGUUCACAAUGUGAUUUCAGUGUGUGAAUAAAGAG